rnacentral:rRNA from 1 species
UACGUAGGGUGCAAGCGUUGUCCGGAAUUAUUGGGCGUAAAGAGCUCGUAGGCGGUUUGUCGCGUCUGCUGUGAAAUCCCAGGGCUUAACCCUGGGCCUGCAGUGGGUACCGGCAAACUAGAGUGCGGUAGGGGAGAUCGGAAUUCCUGGUGUAGCGGUGAAAUGCGCAGAUAUCAGGAGGAACACCGGUGGCGAAGGCGGAUCUCUGGGCCGUAACUGACGCUGAGGAGCGAAAGCAUGGGUAGCGAACAGG